AAGAGAAGCCCAAGCCAAAGGACCAAAAUCCGGCCCAGCCAAAUUUUGCCUUGUGGCGCCCUCCAUAGGCCCUGUGGCGCCCGCCACAGUGUCUGUAAAUGGUCGGGGCAGAACCCCUUUCUUCACCAUUUUCACACCUUACAACCUUCCAAACCCAUUUUUUCACCUUUGAAAAACAUCCUUGAACCCACAAAAAGCUCAUACUUUUCUA
rnacentral:lncRNA from 1 species